rnacentral:rRNA from 1 species
ACUCUCGGCAACGGAUAUCUCGGCUCUCGCAUCGAUGAAGAACGUAGCGAAAUGCGAUACUUGGUGUGAAUUGCAGAAUCCCGUGAACCAUCGAGUCUUUGAACGCAAGUUGCGCCCGAAGCCUUCGGGCCGAGGGCACGCCUGCCUGGGCGUCACGCAUCGCGUCGCCCCCCAAUCCC